GACGAACGCUGGCGGCGUGCUUAACACAUGCAAGUCGAACGGAAAGGCCCCUUUGGGGCUACUCGGGUGGCGACCGGGUGCGUAACACGUGCGUAACCUGCCCUUGCCUUCGGGAUAGCUUCAGGAAACUGGGGCUAAUACCGGAAAGGAAUCCUAGCUGCAUGGGGAGGGUUGGAAAGCUUCGGCGGGUUUGGGUGGACUCACUGCUUAUCGGCUUGCUGGGGGGGUAGUGGCUUACCAAGGCUUGUACGGGUAGCCAGCCUGGGGGGGCGACCGGCCACCGUGGGACUGAGAGACGGCCCAGACUGCUACGGGUGGCAGAAGGGGGGAAGAUUGAACGAGCGGCGGAGGCCUGAUGCAGCAACGCCGCGGGCGGGAUGACGGCGUUAGGGUUGGAGACCGCUUUCAGCAGGGGCGAAGCAUGUGGUGACGGUACCUGCAGAAGAAGCACCGGCUAACUACGUG
rnacentral:rRNA from 1 species